rnacentral:rRNA from 1 species
AUUGAACGCUGGCGGUAUGCUUAACACAUGCAAGUCGAACGAUGAGAAAGAGCUUGCUCUUUCGAUUAGUGGCGGACGGGUGCGUAACGCGUAGGAAUCUACCUAUUAGUGGGGGACAACUUAGGGAAACUUAAGCUAAUACCGCAUACGCCCUACGGGGGAAAGAAGGGGAUCGCAAGACCUUUUGCUAAUAGAUGAGCCUGCGUAGGAUUAGCUAGUUGGUGGGGUAAAAGCUCACCAAGGCGACGAUCCUUAACUGGUUUGAGAGAAUGAUCAGUCACACGGGAACUGAGACACGGUCCAGACACCUACGGGAGGCAGCAGUGGGGAAUAUUGGACAAUGGGCGAAAGCCUGAUCCAGCAAUACCGCGUGUGUGAAGAAGGCCUUAGGGUUGUAAAGCACUUUCAAUUGGAAGGAAAACCUCGAAGCUAAUACCUUCGAGUUUGACAUUACCUUUAGAAGAAGCACCGGCUAACUCCGUGCCAGCCGCCGCAGUAAUAC